UAAACAAAUGUCAACCAAAAAAUAUAAAGUUUACCUCUACAACUACAGUAGCUCACUUUUUCUAUGAAUAAUCAUCCAUAGACGAUAGUCCAUAUUGGCAUGGCCUUCACCUUAUCUUGCUGCAAUUCACUCUUCCUUCAUAACCAACACGUGAAAGUGAGUAAUCAUGUCAGCAACAACAACAACCACCUUAAAAGUGUCAAAAACCUCGUACUCUCAACUGGGGUUCCUUCAAUUGCAACCCCACCUCAAGAAUCCCUUCAAAAGGGCAAUUGGGUCAAGCUCAUUUGUGGUGCUAGCUUUGAGGAUGUUGUUGACAUAAGGAAUAUGUCUCUAGUUUACACCCUUGCUGGAGUUGAUUGUAUUGAUUGUGCGGCGGAUGCAUCGGUUGUGAGUGCGGUUAAUGAAGGAAUUGAAGCGGCCAUGAACAUAGUGUCACUUCGCCGGCCAUGGGUUAUGAUUAGUGUCAAUGAUGAUGAAGACCUUCAUUUUCGUAAAGCUGCCUUUGAUCCAUCGGAGUGUCCACUGGAUUGCUCGAGACCAUGCGAGGCUGUUUGUCCUGCCAAUGCUAUUGCAUUAAAGAAAGGAGAAUCCUUGGAGGGAGGAGUGAUUAAUGAGCGAUGCUAUGGGUGUGGACGUUGCCUUCCAGUCUGCCCAUACGAUAAAAUAAAGGCAGUUACCUACUUGAGAGAUGCUGUUUCUACUGCUCAACUGGUCAGAAGAACUGAUGUUGAUGCUAUUGAAAUCCAUACAAAUGGAAGGCAGACUGAUUCCUUUAAGGAAUUCUGGAAUGGAAUGGGAGAUUCUGUUAGCCACCUGAGAUUAGUGGCUAUAAGCUUACCAGAUGUGGGUGAAGCGACUACAACCUUAAUGAACACGAUGUUCUCAGUCAUGAAACCAAAUUUGAGUUGCUACAAUCUAUGGCAGUUGGAUGGACGCCCAAUGAGUGGAGACAUUGGACGAGGGGCCACCAGGGAAGUACUUGCUUUUGCUGUUCGCUUGGCUGCUGCCGAGGAUAAACCCCCUGGCUUUCUUCAAUUGGCUGGUGGCACUAAUGCUCACACCAUAAAUGGGUUGAAGGAACGGGGAAUUUUUCAAACCAUGAGGAAUUCUGAAGAUGGGAUCUUAAAUGAAGAUAUACCUGGUUCAUCAGAAUCAUCACUCAUUGGCGGUAUAGCAUAUGGUGGUUAUGCUAGGAAGAUUGUUGGAAGAAUAUUGAGAUCCAUGCAAUCACAGCAUGGUCUUGCUUAUAUAGAGGAUUGUCCUGUGUAUCUAAGUGAGGCACUUAGAGAAGCCCUUGCUCUGGUUGGAUCGGUCAAAUGCUAUACUCACCUUGGCGUCCAUCAAGAAUAAUCAAGGUCACAGCUAUAUUUAUGUAGUUUCGUCUUUUCUCAGAAAAUCAAUGAUCUUUUAACUGCCUAUUAUCAGUAUUCCUGUCACAUAUAAGUUUAUGAAGCUGCUAUUGUCACCUUUGCUCUGAUUUAAGCCUGGGAAACUAUAAAUCUACGAUCCUCUGAACCGGAUUCAAGUAUCGACUUAGGUAUGGGUUUAUAUAUAUCUGACAUGGGAUAUACUUAAGUUUUACAGUUUGGGGACUCAAUUGAGUGUCCUUAUGAACGAAUACAUGGAAAUAAUUCUUUGUUAUACAUGUACAUAGAAGUAGAAAAGUAUUAAUGUUCCUUUCUUUAGCCAAAUUUGAUGUGUUCAAGUGCACAUCCAUUAUUCCUCAUUCCUGUUGAAACAUCACAAAUUAGAAAUAUACCAAUAGGUCCUAGUUGGAUCAAAUUAUAAAUAUA